CGUACAAGACUAGUGUUAUUCAUCUUUAAUAGGUUUAAAGGGUACCUAGACGGUAAGUAAGCCUUAAUCGGGACUAAUUUACUAGAGUUACUUGCGAAGGAGCACUAAAGUACUAGUGGUGUAGAGAUAAAAUUCUAUGAUACCUUUUUCGAAAGAGAAAUAAUGGCACAAGUAUAGGCGAAAGCAUCUCCUUAUGUGAUAACUGACGUUGAGGGACGAAGGCUUUGCGCAGCGAACAGGAUU
rnacentral:rRNA from 1 species